rnacentral:rRNA from 1 species
UAGAGGUUUACGUAGUCCUCGGCGUCAAGGACGAACGCGUGCGGGCGUGCCUAACACAUAGCAAGUCGAACGAAGACUUGAAUUCUAGAUUUCUUCGGAAUGAAGAAUGAUAUGACUGAGUGGCGGACGGGUGAGUAACGCGUGAGCAACCUGCCCUUCGAGGGGGAUAGUGUCUGGAAACGGACAGUAAUACCGCAUAACGUAUUUUUACCGUCAUGAUAGAAAUACCAAAACUGAGGUGCCGAAGGAUGGGCUCGCGUUGGAUUAGAUAGUUGGUGGGGUAACGGCCUACCCAAGUCAACGAUCCAUAGCCGGACUGAGAGGUUGAACGGCCACAUUGGGACUGAGACACGGCCCAGACUCCUACGGGAGGCAGCAGUGGGGAAUAUUGCACAAUGGGGGAAACCCUGAUGCAGCAACGCCGCGUGAAGGAAGACGGUUUUCGGAUUGUAAACUUCUGUUCUUAGUGAAGAAAAAUGACGGUAGCUAAGGAGCAAGCCACGGCUAACUGCGUG